CACGUAGGGUGCGAGCGUUGUCCGGAAUUAUUGGGCGUAAAGAGCUCGUAGGCGGUCUGUCGCGUCGGCUGUGAAAUCCCGAGGCUCAACCUCGGGUCUGCAGUCGAUACGGGCAAACUAGAGUAUUGCAGGGGAGACUGGAAUUCCUGGUGUAGCGGUGAAAUGCGCAGAUAUCAGGAGGAACACCGGUGGCGAAGGCGGGUCUCUGGGCAAUAACUGACGCUGAGGAGCGAAAGCGUGGGGAGCAAACAGGAUUAGAACCA
rnacentral:rRNA from 1 species